UACGUAGGGGGCAAGCGUUGUCCGGAAUUAUUGGGCGUAAAGAGCUCGUAGGCGGCUUGGCAAGUCGGAUGUGAAAACUCCAGGCUCAACCUGGAGCCGCCAUUCGAUACUGCUAUGGCUAGAGUCCGGUAGGGGAGUGUGGAAUUCCCGGUGUAGCGGUGAAAUGCGCAGAUAUCGGGAGGAACACCGAUGGCGAAGGCAGCACUCUGGGCCGGCACUGACGCUGAGGAGCGAAAGCGUGGGGAGCGAACAGG
rnacentral:rRNA from 1 species